rnacentral:rRNA from 1 species
GACGAACGCUGGCGGCGUGCUUAACACAUGCCAGCCGAACGGAAAGGCCCUGCUUUUGUGGGGUGCUCGAGUGGCGAACGGGUGAGUAACACGUGAGUAACCUGCCCUUGACUUUGGGAUAACUUCAGGAAACUGGGGCUAAUACCGGAUAGGAGCUCCUGCUGCAUGGUGGGGGUUGGAAAGUUUCGGCGGUUGGGGAUGGACUCGCGGCUUAUCAGCUUGUUGGUGGGGUAGUGGCUUACCAAGGCUUUGACGGGUAGCCGGCCUGAGAGGGUGACCGGCCACAUUGGGACUGAGAUACGGCCCAGACUCCUACGGGAGGCAGCAGUGGGGAAUAUUGCACAAUGGGCGGAAGCCUGAUGCAGCAACGCCGCGUGCGGGAUGACGGCCUUCGGGUUGUAAACCGCUUUCGCCUGUGACGAAGCGUGAGUGACGGUAAUGGGUAAAGAAGCACCGGCUAACUACGU